CCUAGGCUGCUGCUGUGUAGACAGUAUCUACCAUUGUUCCUAGGCCGCUGCUGUGUAGACAGUAUCUACCAUACACUCCCAUUCCCCGGGACUGCCAUUUGGUCAGUCCUUCCCCACUGUGACAGACUAAGACUCUCUGAAACCAUUAGCCAAAAUAAAUCACAGAUGUGUAAAAAGUAGCUAAUGUAGACUCUAUUCCAUCAUUUGUUUCAAUUGAUAAGACUUUUCUUUUUUGUAUAAUAUUGUUUAUUUAAUGUUUGUGAGUGUGUGUGUGUGUGUGUGUGUGUGUGUGUGUUCCUAGAUCAAGACAGUCUGCUCUGCUUCUUGUAUAAAACAGCCAUUCUACUCUCAGUAAACAUAUCAUUGCUAAACCAGGCAGUGGUGGCACAUGCCUUUAAUCCCAGCACUUGGAAGGCAGAGACAGGUGGAUCUCUCAGUUUGAGGCCAGCUUGGUCUACAGAGUGAGUUUCAAGGACAAGUGGGGCUAUACAAAGAAACCCUGUCUC
ensembl:lincRNA Gm42564 predicted gene 42564